UACGAAGGGGGCUAGCGUUGCUCGGAAUGACUGGGCGUAAAGGGCGCGUAGGCGGUUCGUACAGUCAGACGUGAAAUUCCCGGGCUCAACCUGGGGGCUGCGUUUGAUACGUGCGGGCUUGAGUUCGGAAGAGGGUCGUGGAAUUCCCAGUGUAGAGGUGAAAUUCGUAGAUAUUCGCAAGAACACCAGUGGCGAAGGCGGCUCACUGGCCCGAUACUGACGCUGAGGCACGAAAGCGUGGGGAGCAAACAGG
rnacentral:rRNA from 1 species